GCGGUCAGGACGGGGAGAGCGGCGGCUGAGCCAGAGUGAUCAAAUGGAAGGAGGGAGAGUCGGGUUGCAGGGUGGCCGAGCAGUUUGCGCGGAGUUUGAGUAACUCACACACAUGCACGAUGCAAACUGG